rnacentral:rRNA from 1 species
UGGGGAAUAUUGCACAAUGGGCGCAAGCCUGAUGCAGCCAUGCCGCGUGUAUGAAGAAGGCCUUCGGGUUGUAAAGUACUUUCAGUCGGGAGGAAGGUGGUAAGGUUAAUAACCUUAUCAAUCGACGUUACCGACAGAAGAAGCACCGGCUAACUCCGUGCCAGCAGCCGCGGUAAUACGGAGGGUGCAAGCGUUAAUCGGAAUUACUGGGCGUAAAGCGCACGCAGGCGGUCUGUCAAGUCGGAUGUGAAAUCCCCGGGCUCAACCUGGGAACUGCAUUCGAAACUGGCAGGCUAGAGUCUUGUAGAGGGGGGUAGAAUUCCAGGUGUAGCGGUGAAAUGCGUAGAGAUCUGGAGGAAUACCGGUGGCGAAGGCGGCCCCCUGGACAAAGACUGACGCUCAGGUGCGAAAGCGUGGGGAGCAAACAGG